UACGAAGGGUGCAAGCGUUACUCGGAAUUACUGGGCGUAAAGCGUGCGUAGGCGGCCAACUAAGUCAGACGUGAAAUCCCUCGGCUUAACCGGGGAACUGCAUCUGAUACUGGAUGGCUUGAGUUCGGGAGAGGGAUGCGGAAUUCCAGGUGUAGCGGUGAAAUGCGUAGAUAUCUGGAGGAACACCGGUGGCGAAGGCGGCAUCCUGGACCGACACUGACGCUGAGGAGCGAAAGCCAGGGGAGCAAACGGG
rnacentral:rRNA from 1 species